GGUUGUAUAGUGUAGCGGUUAGCACCUCGGAUUCUGAUUAAACCAGUGUUCCGGUAACCCCAGUUCGAUUCUGGGUACGACCU